CACCUACGCGGGUAUAGUCUGCAGACUUUGCCCUGCCAGGCACAGCCUGCCAGGCACUGCUCGACCGUGUGGACGUGGCUUUAGACGCGUUAACAUAUAUUCUAAUCUUAUUACCUUUACUUUUGCAGCAUGAGAGGUAAAGCGCCUCCUAAGCGUUAUCAAAAGUAAAGAGAGAGGUCAAAAUGAGAGGCAAACCCAAAUCCUUCAUGAUUUAUUUUCUUGCGGAGCGAUUUUUUGAGGCCUCUCUCCACUACAAGCAUCCAUUCUCAUUAAUUUCAAUCCUUGACUAUGUUCUAACAAAGGAAUCCAUUCACCAUUGCAAGUUUUAACUCCGGGCGCUGAUGACCAGAUCAACCUUGACGCAGAGACUCGAGGCCAAGUGAAGGACCUCAUGGAGACUCUGAUCGAAGAGGAAAUCCUGGACUUCCGCCGGGGUUGGGUCCUCGCCUCCAACUUUCAAGUCGGUCCAUGUUCCGUCGUUUACACCUGACCUCAGUGUUCAUCUGUAAGUGGACUUCCAGCUGGACUGUUUGCUUGAACUUGAACCAAGUGGACUAUCCGACUCACACAAGAGACUGACGCAAAGCCCCCGGGCUUGAAGGACGACCAAAGCCAGGUGGUUUCCGCCUCGACGACGAAGGCGCUGUGAUACUGACGAGGGAAUCGAUUUCCCGAUUUCACCUUUCCUACCUGUCUCCCCUGUACGUGGAAUGGGUAGCCACAGAAUGCAAUGACUGUAACUCUCCUCUGAGUCGCCGAUGGAAUUAUUACUCUCAUGUUGCAAUGACUGCAAUAUGUUGGAAAAACCCAUCUGGUUGUUUAUACAGGAUCUGUUUUUAUUUUAUGCGUAUGACUGCGAGGUUCAAUCGCUAUUGAAGAUAUCCCAUUUGGUAAAUAAAAUAUGGAUUUGUU
rnacentral:lncRNA from 1 species